UGCGGGAUGGAGCNNUGGGCUCAUAACCCAAAGGUCGUCGGUUCAAGUCCGGCUCCCGCUACAA
rnacentral:tRNA from 1 species